UACGUAGGGUGCAAGCGUUGUCCGGAAUUAUUGGGCGUAAAGAGCUCGUAGGCGGUUUGUCGCGUCUGCUGUGAAAACCCGAGGCUCAACCUCGGGCCUGCAGUGGGUACGGGGCAGACUAGAGUGCGGUAGGGGGAGAUUGGAAUUCCUGGUGUAGCGGUGGAAUGCGCAGAUAUCAGGAGGAACACCAAUGGCGAAGGCAGAUCUCUGGGCCGUAACUGACGCUGAGGAGCGAAAGCAUGGGGAGCGAACAGGG
rnacentral:rRNA from 1 species